rnacentral:rRNA from 14 species
GGCGGGAGCCCCGGGAAGAGUUCUCUUUUCUUCUUAACUGUCUAUCACCCUGAAAUCGGUUUGUCCGGAGCUAGGGUUUAAUGGCAGGUAGAGCAGCACACCUUUGUGCUGUCCGGUGCGCUCUCGACGACCCUUGAAAAUCCGCCGGAAGGAAUGAUUUUCACGCGAGGUCGUACUCAUAACCGCAGCAGGUCUCCAAGGUGAACAGCCUC